GGAGGCAGGGGAGCGGGCAGGGGACAGGGAGGGCGGCGGUGCGCGCACAGGACUGACCACCAGCAGCGAAAAAGAAGAACACUGGAGCCCUUCUUGCCUUGCCAGAAGAGAUGACCUCCUACAUCUGCUGUAAAUUCACCAAAGCAUAUGGAAUUUUGCCUUUCGCCAUCUCCCAAGCAUCAGACCACAGCAACACCAGGCAGAUAAAAGCAAAGCCAAAACCAACCUUCCAUUCUUAUCCUCCAUUUGAAGAUCCUAUUUGUGUGAAAAUAAAGCGAUGGUACCCAGCCACCUCUUUUGCUGUUCCCACCCACAGUAACACAUCUCUGGGCACCUGCAAACACAAGCUCUCCUGGGUCUGCCUGCAAAGUGAGAGGGGGAAACCAGAAGUCGCCAAAGGACACAAAGCUGAGGAAGUUGUAGAACUUGAUACUCAGGGAUAAGAGGAGUCUUACCCUUCCAUUUCUUUGCUGAUUUUGAAUUUAGUACAAUACAAAUAACAGGCAGAAUCUGAUACAAACUUCAGGAAGUUCAACCAAGUCCUGGACUACUACAAAAAAGUACAGGCUGAGGAGCAAUCUUUACCAAAAAAAACCCUGUGUGUCCUGGAGAGAAAGCUGAAUAAGAAUCAGCAGUGUAUGUCUGAUGAAGAUAACUACAUAUUGGCUGUAUUAGCAAAUGGGCAGCAAGAAGGGUAAAAAGAAUAAUGAUUCCCCUCUACUCAGCACUUGUGAGCCUGCAUCUCCAGUACCAUGUCCUGUCUUGUGAUCCCCAAAAGGAGAUGGACAUUGGAGUAGGUCCAGCGAAGGGUCACGAAGCAGGAGUGCAACACACAAUAAAAAAGUAAGGUUUACUUGAUAGCAAAGUGAUUCACCUAAGGGAAGAUCUUACUGCUGCCUUAAAUUACUUACUGGGAGGGUGCAAACAUUAUGACAAAAGCUUUUUGUGAAGAUAGCACAGUGCCAAGACAAGAAUCAUGACUUGCAUUAAAGGGUAUUUUGACUAGAUGUAAACAAAAAAAAAUCCAACAGAAUGAGAGUUUACCCAGACAGUUUUACUAGGCUGAAACAUCUCCAUUCUUGGAGAUAAAUAAAAUUUCACUGGGAAAGGCCUUAACAAAUUUAACCUAUUUGAAUAGAAGGCUGAACUAAAUGACAUUCAGGGUAUACUUGUGCCUUAAUUACUGUGUGACUCUGUAAAACAGACAUCUAACAUCACUCAAAUUAACUCGACCUGAAUGUUUUAUGUUAUUUUUUUAAAAAGGCUUUGCCUUGCAGAUAUUUAAGGAGUGGUCCUCUGACAUUCCUCUAGUAGGAACCAUGAACAUUACUUUUCAGGUAAAACAGUUUAAUUUUUUUUCCCUGUACAGUUCUGAAACUCAGAUACUUCACCCCAUCUCUAAAAGCUUAUACUCUUAUAAACUCUUAUUAAAGCGUAAAAGCUUAUACUCUUUAAAGAGUAUUCCCAGAUAGAA